AUAAGAGGUCCCGCCUGCCCUGUGACUUGUUAGUUUAACGGCCGCGGUAUUUUGACCGUGCGAAGGUAGCGUAAUCACUUGUCUUUUAAAUGGAGACCUGUAUGAAUGGCAUAACGAGGGCUAAGCUGUCUCCUUUUUCCAGUCAAUGAAAUUAAUCUUCCCGUGCAGAAGCGGGAAUAAGCACAUAAGACGAGAAGACCCUAUGGAGCUUUAGACAAAAGGCAGAUAACAUAAAAUUAACUGAGUAAACAGAACAAACAAAGUACCCCCUGCCCUCCUGUCUUUGGUUGGGGCGACCGUGGGGAAACAAAUAUCCCCCAUGUGGAAUGGGAACUAUUCCUCAAGACCAGAGCUACAGCUCUAACAAACAGAACUUCUGACCAAGAAGACCCGGCAAAGCCGAUCAACGGACCGAGUUACCCUAGGGAUAACAGCGCAAUCCCCUUUUAGAGCCCAUAUCGACAAGGGGGUUUACGACCUCGAUGUUGGAUCAGGACAUCCUAAUGGUGCAGCCGCUAUUAAGGGUUCGUUUGUUCAACGAUUAAAGUCCUACGUGAUC
rnacentral:rRNA from 1 species